rnacentral:tRNA from 1 species
GAGGGUAUAGCACAGUGGUAGAGCGCGUGCUCAGCACGCAGGAGGACCCGGGUUCAAUCCCCAGUACCUCCU